rnacentral:rRNA from 1 species
GGAUCAUUAUAGAGUUAACAAAACUCCCUAAACCCAUGUGAACUUACCAUGUUGCCUGGCGGAAGGCCUACCCGGUAUCUACCCGGUACCGACCUGGGAAUUAGCUACCCUGUAGCUGACCACCCGGGAGCUGCCCUGUACCUACCCGGGAAGGCCCUCUAAUUCCGUCAAAGGACCGUUAAACUCUGUUUUAUUACUGUUUCUUCUGAGUUUGUUAUACAAAUACGUUAAAACUUUCAACAACGGAUCUCUUGGUUCUGGCAUCGAUGAAGAACGCAGCGAAAUGCGAUAAGUAAUGUGAAUUGCAGAAUUCAGUGAAUCAUCGAAUCUUUGAACGCACAUUGCGCCCGCCAGUAUUCUGGCGGGCAUGCCUGUUCGAGCGUCAUUUCAACCCUUAAGCCUAGUUGCUUAGUGUUGGGGGCUUCAGCGUCUGCUGGACCCCUUAAAUCUAGUGGCGGAGCCUCUGUAAACUCUGAGCGUAGUAGAUCUCAUCUCGCUUUUGUAGUUGCCCAGGCCCCAGCCGUUAAACCCACCACUUCUAGAAAGUUGACCUCGGAUCAGGUAGGAAUACCCGCUGAACUUAAGCAUAUCAAUAAGCGGAGGAAAAGAAACCAACAGGGAUUGCCCUAGUAACGGCGAGUGAAGCGGCAACAGCUCAAAUUUGAAAUCUGGCCUUCUGGUCCGAGUUGUAAUUUGUAGAGGAUGCUUUUGGCGCGGUGCCUUCCGAGUUCCCUGGAACGGGACGCCUUAGAGGGUGAGAGCCCCGUACGGUUGGACGCCUAGCCUCUGUAUAGCUCCUUCGACGAGUCGAGUAGUUUGGGAAUGCUGCUCUAAAUGGGAGGUAAAUUUCUUCUAAAGCUAAAUACCGGCCAGAGACCGAUAGCGCACAAGUAGAGUGAUCGAAAGAUGAAAAGCACUUUGAAAAGAGGGUUAAAUAGCACGUGAAAUUGUUGAAAGGGAAGCGCUUGUGACCAGACUUUUUCCAGGCGGAUCAUCCGGCGUUCUCGCCGGUGCACUUCGCCUGGUCUAGGCCAGCGUCGAUUUUCGUAGGGGGAUAAAGGCUUAGGGAAUGUAGGUCCCUCCGGGGAGUGUUAUAGCCCUUUGCGUAAUACCCUUACGGGGAUCGAGGU